ACAGCAGUCGCCGCGGUAACACGAAGGGUGCAAGCGUUAAUCGGAAUUACUGGGCGUAAAGCGUGCGUAGGCGGUGAGUUAAGUCUGCUGUGAAAUCCCCGGGCUCAACCUGGGAAUGGCAGUGGAUACUGGCUCGCUAGAGUGUGUCAGAGGAUGGUGGAAUUCCCGGUGUAGCGGUGAAAUGCGUAGAGAUCGGGAGGAACAUCAGUGGCGAAGGCGGCCAUCUGGGACAACACUGACGCUGAGGCACGAAAGCGUGGGGAGCAAACAGGAUUAGAUACCCGCGUAGUCCCUGUCUCUUAUAC
rnacentral:rRNA from 1 species